rnacentral:rRNA from 1 species
UACGUAGGGUGCGAGCGUUGUCCGGAAUUAUUGGGCGUAAAGGGCUCGUAGGCGGUUUGUCGCGUCGGGAGUGAAAACCAGGUGCUUAACACCUGGCUUGCUUUCGAUACGGGCAGACUAGAGGUAUGCAGGGGAGAACGGAAUUCCUGGUGUAGCGGUGAAAUGCGCAGAUAUCAGGAGGAACACCGGUGGCGAAGGCGGCCUGCUGGGCUAUGGCUGACACUGAGGCGCGACAGCGUGGGGAGCAAACAGG